CAAUAAGCGGAGGAAAAGAAACUAACAAGGAUUCCCCUAGUAGCGGCGAGCGAAGCGGGAAGAGCUCAAAUUUAUAAUCUGGCGCUUUCAGCGUCCGAGUUGUAAUCUCUAGAAGUGUUUUCCGCGUUGGACCGCACAUAAGUCUGUUGGAAUACAGCGGCACAGUGGUGAGACCCCCGUUCACGGUGCGGAUGCCCAAUGCUUUGUGAUACACUUUCGAAGAGUCGAGUUGUUUGGGAAUGCAGCUCAAAUUGGGUGGUAAAUUCCAUCUAAAGCUAAAUAUUGGCGAGAGACCGAUAGCGAACAAGUACCGUGAGGGAAAGAUGAAAAGCACUUUGGAAAGAGAGUUAACAGUACGUGAAAUUGUUGGAAGGGAAACGCUUGAAGUCAGACUUGCUAUUCGGGGCUUGCUCCGAGUUGCAGGCCAGCAUCAGUUUUUCGGGGCGGAAAAUCACGGAUUGAAGGUAGCAGUUUCGGCUGUGUUAUAGCUUUCCGUUGGAUACGUCCUGGGGGACUGAGGAACGCAGUGUGCUUUUAGCGAGGGCUUCGGCUCUUUCACACUUAGGAUGCUGGUGGAAUGGCUUUAAACGACCCGUCUUGAAACA
rnacentral:rRNA from 1 species